GGUUCGGUUUGUCGCUGGUGUUUUUCAACACGAGAGGAAAGUCCGGGCAGCGUAGGGCGCUCCGCUUCCGAAAAUAGAAGCUAUUGGCAACAGUAGGAUAUGGCAGAAGAAAAUAACCGCCGCAGUUUGACUGAUGGUAAGGGUGAGAAGGUGGUGUAAGAGACCACCAGUCGUCGGGCGAUCGGCGAGCUGUGUCAUCUGGAGGCUGCAAGUUCAUGUAAACCAUCGUCUGAGGAUUGCCCGUCCGAUUCACUCCGAUGGAGGGUAGAAUGCUUAAGCCGUGUGGCGACAUGCGGAUUAGAUAAAUGACAAACACGCUGGUUUUGUGUUUUUCAAAACCAUUGUACAGAACCCGGCUUAUAGAACCACUG
rnacentral:RNase_P_RNA from 1 species